rnacentral:rRNA from 1 species
AUUGAACGCUGGCGGCAGGCCUAACACAUGCAAGUCGAGCGAGCGGCGGACGGGUGUGUAAUGUAUGGGGACUGCCCGAUAGAGGGGGAUAACCACUGGAAACGGUAGCUAAUACCGCAUACUAUCGGAUAACCCAUAUGUGAUUAGCUAGUCGGUGCGGUAAUGGUUCACCUAGGCGACGAUCCCUAGCUGGUCUGAUAGGAUGAUAAGCCAAACUUGGACUUAGACACGGCCCAGACUCCUACGGAGGCAGCAGUGGGGAAUAUUGCACAAUGGGCGAAAGCCUAAUGCAGCCAUGCCGCGUGUAUGAAGAAGGCCCUAGGGUUGUAAAGUACUUUCAGUCGGGAGGCGUUACCGACAGAAGAAGCACCGGCUAACUCCGUGCCAGCCGCCGCGGUAAUAC